rnacentral:rRNA from 1 species
GAUGAACGCUGGCGGCGUGCCUAAUACAUGCAAGUCGAGCGAACAGACGAGGAGCUUGUUCCUCUGACGUUUGCCGCGCACGGGUGUGUAACACGUGUAUACCCCCCUUAUAAGUCUGGGAUAAUUUCGGAAAACCGGCGCUAAUCCCGGAUAAUAUAUUGAACCGCAUGGUUCAUUAGUGAAAGACGGUUUUUCCGUCGGUAGUAGAUGCAUUUGCGCUUCAUCAGCUUGUUGGUGAGGUAACGGCUUACCAAGGCAACGAGGGGUAGCGGGCCUGAGAGGGUGACCGGCGACACAGGGACUGAGGGACGGCAGAGACUGCUAAGGGUGGGAGAAGGGGGGAAUCUUGCAGAAUGGGCGGAAGCCGGAUGAUGAAACGCCGCGUGCGGGAAAACGGUCUUAGGGGUGUAAACCGAUUUCGUAUGUGACGAAGCGUGAGUGAAGGUAACGUGUAAAGAAGCACCGGCUAACUACGUG